CAGUCGCCACGGGAAUACGAAGGGGGCUAGCGUUGUUCGGAAUUACUGGGCGUAAAGCGCACGUAGGCGGAUAUUUAAGUCAGGGGCGAAAUCCCAGAGCUCAACUCUGGAACUGCCUUUGAUACUGGGUAUCUUGAGUAUGGAAGAGGUGAGUGGAAUUCCGAGUGUAGAGGUGAAAUUCGUAGAUAUUCGGAGGAACACCAGUGGCGAAGGCGGCUCACUGGUCCAAUACUGACGCUCAUGCACGAAAGCGUGGGGAGCAAACAGGAUUAGAUACCCGCGUAGUCCCUGUCUCUUAUAC
rnacentral:rRNA from 1 species